rnacentral:tRNA from 1 species
GGGGUUGUGGUGAAAUGGUAGACACGCCCGCCUUCCUCUGAGUCUGAGCUACGGUUCAGACCUAGAGGAAGCGGGUGCCCGAAAGGGCGUGAGGGUUCGAGUCCCUUCAUCCCCA